rnacentral:pre_miRNA from 1 species
GAAGUACUCCUUCCGUCCCAAAAUUCUUGUUUUAAAUUUGUUUAGAUACGGAUGUAUCUAAUACUAAAACGUGACUUGAUACAUCCAUAUCUAGACAAAUUUAAGACAAGAAUUUUGAGACGGAGGGAGUAGAAA